UACGGGGGGGGCAAGCGUUGUUCGGAAUUACUGGGCGUAAAGGGCUCGUAGGUGGCCAACUAAGUCAGACGUGAAAUCCCUCGGCUUAACCGGGGAACUGCGUCUGAUACUGGAUGGCUUGAGUUUGGGAGAGGGACGCGGAAUUCCAGGUGUAGCGGUGAAAUGCGUAGAUAUCGGAAGGAACAUCAGUGGCGAAAGCGACUUCCUGGACCAGUACCGACGUUCAGGCACGAAAGCGUGGGGAGCAAACAGG
rnacentral:rRNA from 1 species